rfam:Norovirus Hu/Pune/PC24/2006/India RNA-dependent RNA polymerase gene, partial cds; and capsid protein gene, complete cds.
AGUGGCCACCCACACCACAUAAGGAAAAAUGACUGCUGGAACGGGGACUCCU